GCCCGAAUAGCUCAGCCGGUUAGAGCACUUGACUGUUAAUCAGGGGGUCGUUGGUUCGAGUCCAACUUCGGGCG
rfam:Lysobacter sp. Root494 contig_3, whole genome shotgun sequence.